GAUGAAGAACGUAGCGAAAUGCGAUACUUGGUGUGAAUUGCAGAAUCCCGUGAACCAUCGAGUCUUUGAACGCAAGUUGCGCCCGAAGCCACUAGGCCGAGGGCACGCCUGCCUGGGCGUCACACGCCGUUGCCCCCCCAUCUACUCCUUCGGGAUUGCGGGGGGGCGGAUGAUGGCCUCCCGUGCGCCUAGCCGCGCGGUUGGCAUAAAUACCAAGUCCUCGGCGACGCACGCCACGACAAUCGGUGGUUGCGAAACCUCGGUUGCCCGUCGUGUGCGUUCGUCGCGCAUNNNNGGCUCGAAAAAAUGCUCGGCUCCGGCUGGGCUUUCAACGCGACCCCAGGUCAGGCGGGGUUACCCGCUGAAUUUAAGCAUAUCAAUAAGCGGAGGA
rnacentral:misc_RNA from 1 species